GAGUAACAGAAUACAUGUAACAGGAUUACGUAUUUAAAAUACAAAGUAUAAGUAACUUUCCACUACAGUUACAAUUUAAAAUAAUUUGAAUACAGUUACAUUCAAAAAGUAUUUUGAUUACUGAAGAGAUUACUUUGCAUUUUAUUGUCAUUUGUUUCAUUUAAUAUUUAGUCCUUUCAGAUGGAAAAUAUUUAUACAUAUAAAUGAUGUGAUCCAAAGUGCAUUUGAACAGCAGUGAAACACUUUCUUAUGAUGUGUUACAUUCAUACGAGCAGACAGAGAAGUCAGUUUGAAGUAAGUUUGGAGCAGAAGAAAUAGAAAUAAACCUUGUGUAAAUUGUCAGCUUUACGCUAAGCUAAAAUGCUAUUUCUAGCCAUUUUACAUGCACAUUACCAGGCACGAUCAUAUUUUUUAUCAAGAAAAUUCACAUUGGAUCAUAAUUUCUUUGUUCUAGUAAAAUAUUUGAUAUUAGGGCAAAAAUCUAAAAAAAUCCUUCAAACAAGAUCAAUUUGAUUUAUCUUGUUUUAGAAACAACAUUGCAUAAGAUAUUUCGGUUUUUCAGAGAAUGUAUUUUUAACAUGUGUAUUUUGUCUUACUGUACUGGCAGUUUUUAUAGUCAAAACAAGUGAAAAAAUCUACCAGUGCUGAAGAAGUAAUCCAAAGUAUUUAGAAUACGUUACUGACCUUGAGUAAUCUAAUGGAAUACGUUACAAAUUACAUUUUACAGCAUGUAUUCUGUAAUCUGUAGUGGAAUACAUUUCAAAAGUAACCCUCCCAACCCUGUAUGUAUAUGUAUGUGUGUGUAUAUAUAUAUAUAUAUAAAUCUUUUUUUCACAUGCGCAAUUGAAGCCUAGGUGACAACAACAAUCAUGCAUGCUUGCAUUCAUCAAAAAACAAAAAACAAACAAAAAAAAUGGUUACAUCUACAGUAACUGGCAAAAUCAAUGGGAGCGAUCUAAACUAGAAGUUGAUGGACACUUUUUGUUUUUGAUGCACUGCACAGCUACUCUAGAUACUUUAUUUUGCAUGUCUGUCUGUAAUAGUGAUUUUAUUUGGAAAACAUAGAUGAAUGGGUGUUUCUUCUACAGUGGGCGCUCUACACAGUUUUCCUUUGCUGAAAAUGUUUGCUUUUGAGAAGAAUACAAUGCUUCAAAAUCGAUUCUAAUGAAAUAAUUGAGUGAUUUUAACCCAAAUAAGAAAAACACAAGAAAUGUUGUUACCAUUGUAGAAGUAAAAGUCUUCUAGAAAGUCUCAACUGAAGCCUCCACUGGCUCAGAUGUUCCUUGAAUGCAAAAUAGAAUGUAAACUGAAGUUAGCCUCAGAGUUUGCCAUCUUACAUUUUGGUCUUUAAAUAGACUGAUUUAAGUUUUUAUGCAACUGACUGAAAAAAGUUAAGAACAAAAUUUUAGAUGACUAACUAGUUAGACUAGUCUAAAACAAUUUUAUGCAACCGGCCACUGGAUUCAAACUCUCGACUCCAGGGGUGGUUGCAGGGCUGCCCAUUUUACAGUUUUAGCCUUGUUCUAUACCCAGAUUUUAAUAUUAAACUAUGAAAAUCCAUUAUAAAAAUACAAAUUACUGUAUGUUUAAAACAUGUUAAUAUAAACAGAGAGUAAAAUGAUGUAACAAACCAUUUAAAUGAUUUUUUCAAAAACUAUGACUGUCCCACAGUCGCCAAACAAGUUUGUUUUAUUAUUUUUUUUAAUUAAAAGUGAUGUUAAAAGAAAUCAAAGAAAAUUCCAAGGUAAAAUCUACUUGAAGUCCAUAGUGCUUAAAGUGCCCGAAGUUAAAGAAACACCCAUGUAUUAAAUUUCAGACAUGUCUGGACUGGCUGCGAUUUUGUCGUGUUUAGAGUUUUUGCUUUGAGAGUGGACAAAAAAACUAAAAUAAUUGUUGGAAACAUGUGGCAUCAUCCUUGGUGAGGACAUACUGUUAUUGAGUGUAUGAAACCUCCACUGUUACACAAUGUCCUAACCAGCCAAUACUGUGACAAAACACUUUAUCGAUCGCUUGUUUUUUUUAUUUUUGUUGUGGCACAUUGGUUAGCCCUGCCCACAGCUUCUUGUUGGUCCAAAUACCCACACCAAAUGAAAAAUGGUAUUGAUUUUGUCAGCAUUUUCACUUACAGUGUGAACAGAAAUUACAUAAUACUGGAAACUUGACCUGGUUGGGACAUGUCAGAAUAAUAAGCCAGUUUCUUUGGAAAUUAUAGCAUCUGACUCAGGGUUCAGACUUACUUUGCAAGGUUGCAGUAAAAGAUGAACCGUCGCUUAGCAUAGGUAAGCAUAUAUUUUAUUGGAUUCUUUCAGCUGCUGUGGUUGCCAUGGAUUCCUGCUACAGUCUGAAUGCUGAAGGCACACACAAUGCCAUACUGCAAGCACCAGACACCCAGAGGAAUACAUAGGGUGCCAGCAAAGGGAUGUGAUGGGUGGGAAACCAUUCUGCUCUAAUGGCAAUGAAGAGCCAUUAUUUGGACACAAGGUCACUAUUGGGUCAUGCAAGAGUACAAAUUACAGUGACUGCAGAUUAUGGGCAGAUCUUAACCGGGACAAAGUGUGGAGAUGGUUUGAGGGCUGCAUUGCAAUAGGCAUCGGUUUGGGAUUAGGUGUCUAUAUUCUUGUUUUGGCUAUUUCCAUGGUCCUCAAACUAAGAACCCUUCGCUCCAGGCACAAGAGGUACUGAUUCAACGUUACUGUGAACUUGUGAAGCAAGUAAGUUUGGCCAAAAUGGCUAAUUGCAAUGGAAAAUUCUGCCAAAAUGGGUAUGUCCAAGCUUGAACUACAUUAAAAAUCCUUUACUGCAUGUUUCUUAUUUUCUCUUUCGCAAGUCGCCAACUGGUCAAGCAAACGAUUACCUCAAAUUAUAAGCAGACUGGGCAAGUGUACAGUAUUCAAAUGAACCUAACACUGGCAAGGUCCUAGAAUCAAUGGGUACUAGAAUUCAUUGUAUAUAACUAAAUUAACAGUUAGUGCAAGAUAACAUUCACAUUCUGCUUUAAAUGUUUAAGAUGCCAGGUAAACUAAACCCACAAGUCGGAGACAGAGCCCUAGUGAUGAGGCCACAUUUGUAAAACCACCUGGGUUAAAAUGGCCAAACCAGCAAGUGUCAGUGAGACAGCAGAGGGAGCUCUCUGCACGUUCUUUCUCUUAUGAACAGAGCAAUUUGAGGUCAUAGUUGGAUGUUUGAAGCAAAAGAUACAGGGGUUUUAUUUGCGAAACUUUUUUUUUGAUGUUUCAUCCAUAGUGGGCAAUUAAAUGAAGUAGUUUGCACUGCUGAUACACAUAGGAACUGUGUUUAAUUGAACACUAAAACAGCAAGAGUGAGAUAUCACUCAAAUUUGCACAGAAAAGGAUGUAUUAUGUAUUACUUUGGUAAUAAAGUGCUUUUACUGUGUGUGUGUGUGUGAUUAAAUAGUUUUUGAAAGCUGUGACUAAAGUAUCCAAUUCUCCAAACUAAAAUUCCAAUAUCAUACUUUGUUAUAGUUCGAUAAAAACAAGUGAAUGCAAUAAACCACACUAGCAAGGGUCUACUAGAUAAUGAAGGCAGAUUUUAACUUCAAUACAACAAUACAAGUGUUUGUCAUAAAUGUCAAGUUGGGGCAAUUUGUCAUGUUUAAAAUGCUAUAAAUAUAUUCAAUUUAUUAACUACAAUAUUUGGUACGACAUACACAAUGAUAUGAUUUGAUACUUUUGUAUGUUAUUAUGUACAUUUUUGCUGCUUCAUGAAUUUUGUGUUUUGUGAUUAUUUUAAUGUUUAAAUUUAGCUGAAAACCCAAUAAUGGGAUGUUUAACGGCAUGUUCCAUUGUGACAACUUACCCCAUGUAGUGUGAUGGCAUGCCUUGCUUUUGGACACAUAUGGUUAUAAUGUGUUCAAUCAAUGGCAUCUUUUUCCCCCAUGGAAAUGUUCAAUAGCUUUUUUGUAGUCAAGACUUUAAGGUAUGUGGCUAUACAGAAAUGGAUGUUCAAGUAUAAACCUACCCAAAGAAUUGUUCACUAGAGUAAAAAGUGUGACAAUUGGCCCCAGUCUCCACUAUACUGAUAAUUGUGUGAUCUAUAUUGCUCUCUGGAUCUCACACUGAAGCACCUAAAAUAAAUCAAACUCUUAUAACUCUGCUCUUUAGUAGGGAACACUGAGAAUGGCAAUUUUGAAAGAUUUUCAUGAGAUCAAGAUUUUCAGUAAGAGAACGGCCUUGACACAAAUAGCCUAAGAUAAAGAGAAAUGAAUGACAAAGAACAGCUAUAAGUAUAGUGCCAGUGCAUGGGCAGCCAAUUGUGCUAUGCAAAGCAUUUCGGCCAAAACGGGUAAUUGUAAGCUGUCAACUGUUUGGCUAUUGCUAUUAGUUACAUGCUUAGAUAUGCAUUUCAUUAAGUAAAUAGGAGUCUUCCUUGAUGAAAAUAUCAAGUACACAGGUUUACAAUAGUGUUUCUUUCAGUCAAUUGAAAUUUAAGCUGGAAAUGUGUAGGUUAGCUUUGACUGAAUAGAACUGCAGUUUGGUCACAGAAAAUAACAUCCAGUUGAGCUACAAAGAGAUAAAAAAUGAGAAACCUCUGCUGGUAUUUUCAAAGGCAACCAUCACUAUUAUAAUUGGUCAUACUAAAGGUUAGGGAUUGAAACAAACCCCAAACCAUAAGUGAUAAACUUUGAGACGUAAUUUGUCCUGCAUGUUUGUGCUACAGACUUUUUACCUCAAAUUUUGCCGCUUGUAUCUAAAAACUACUAGGUGGAAUGUAGUUUUGGUUCAGAGCUUAUUCAAAUCGCUCAGAUAUCAUCGCUAAUACUGACAUCUGUGAAGAACAUCCUGUCACUUCCUGAAAUAUUCUUUUAAUACCUCAGCAUUAAGAUGUUUGCUGACUGUGGGUUAUAUUCUAUCACACAUCUUCCUGUAUCUCAGUGAGAAUGGUGUGCAGUAUUAAAAGCUAAAGGACCUUCACAUUACCAGCAAAAAACAAGAAAGAUUUUUUUUUUCUUUAAAAAAAAUGUGCGUGAUGCAAAACUUGUCGCUGUAAUGCUGAGUUGCUAAGGUGUUAUGAGGGUUUUUAAGUGUUUUGCCAUGCACUUGCUUGGAAGUUGCUAGGGUGUUCUGGGUGGUUGCUUUGUGGCCCAAGUCCCCAUUAGUCUCUGUGUAUAGCUCAAG